GACAGAGGGUGCAAACGUUGCUCGGAAUUACUGGGCGUAAAGGGCGCGUAGGCGGUUCGCUAAGUUGGAUGUGAAAACUCUGGGCUUAACCCAGAGCCUGCAUCCAAAACUAGCAGGCUAGAGUUCUGGAGGGGAUAGCGGAAUUCCUGGUGUAGCGGUGAAAUGCGUAGAUAUCAGGAGGAACACCGGUGGCGAAGGCGGGUCUCUGGGCAACUACUGACGCUGAGGAGCGAAAGCGUGGGGAGCGAACAGG
rnacentral:rRNA from 1 species